rnacentral:rRNA from 1 species
AGAGCAUUUGGUGAAUGCCUUGGCAUGUACAGGCGAUGAAGGACGUGGCACGCUGCGAUAAGCGUCGGGGAGUUGUGAGCAAACUUUGAUCCGGCGAUUUCCGAAUGGGGAAACCCACCUUCACCAUUUCAUUCGUUGUCCGAGCGAUCGGAUCAUGAGUGAGGUGGAUAAGGUAUCACUAGGGUGAAUAAAAUAGCCUUUGGUGAAGCGAACCCGGGGAACUGAAACAUCUCAGUACCUGGAGGAAAAGACAUCAACCGAGAUUCCGUUAGUAGUGGCGAGCGAACGCGGACCAGGCCAGUGCCUCAUCUUCAACUAGCAGAACACUUUGGGAAGAGUGGCCAUAGCGGGUGACAGCCCCGUAUGCGAAAGUGAUGGAUGAGGCCUCGAGUAGGGCGGGACACGUGAAAUCCUGUCUGAACAUGGGGGGACCACCCUCCAAGCCUAAAUACUCGUACAUGACCGAUAGUGAACUAGUACCGUGAGGGAAAGGUGAAAAGCACCCCGAUUAGGGGAGUGAAACAGUACCUGAAACCGAAUGCUUACAAGCAGUGGGAGCUUCCUUGAGGAGUGACCGCGUACCUCUUGCAUAAUGGGUCAGUGACUUAGUUUAUCGAGCAAGCUUAAGCCGUUAGGUGUAGGCGUAGCGAAAGCGAGUCUGAAAUGGGCGACAGAGUUCGAUGAAUUAGACCCGAAACCCGGCGAUCUAGGCAUGACCAGGCUGAAGGUGCGGUAACACGCACUGGAGGGCCGAACCGUUGAAUGUUGAAAAAUUCUCGGAUGAGUUGUGUUUAGGGGUGAAAGGCCAAUCAAGCCGGGAAAUAGCUGGUUCUCCGCGAAAUCUAUUGAGGUAGAGCGUCGGAUGAUUGCCGAUGGGGGUAGAGCACUGGAUGGGCUAGGGGGUCGCGAGAUCUACCAAACCUAACCAAACUCCGAAUACCAUCGAGUCUAGUCCGGCAGACAGACGGCGGGUGCUAAGGUCCGUCGUCAAAAGGGAAACAGCCCUAACCUACAGCUAAGGUCCCCAAGUCACGUCUAAGUGGGAAAGCAUGUGGGAUUUCCAAAACAACCAGGAGGUUGGCUUAGAAGCAGCCAUCCUUUAAAGAAAGCGUAACAGCUCACUGGUCUAAAUAAGAGAUCCUGCGGCGAAGAUGUAUCGGGGCUAAAGACGUGCACCGAAGCUUAGGGUGUGAUCGUUUACGAUCACGCGGUAGCGGAGCGUUCCGUAGGCUGAUGAAGCGAUCUGGUAAUGGGUCGUGGAGGUAUCGGAAGUGCGAAUGCUGACAUGAGUAGCGAUAAAGAGGGUGAGAUGCCCUCUCGCCGAAAGACCAAGGGUUCCUGCUUAAAGCUAAUCUGAGCAGGGUUAGCCGGCCCCUAAGACGAGCCCGAAGGGGGUAGUCGAUGGGAACCACGUUAAUAUUCGUGGGCCUGGUGGUGUGUGACGGAUCUCGUGUGUUGUCCUUCCUUAUUGGAUUGGAAGGGCUUCGAAGAGGUUCCAGGAAAUAGCCCCACCGUAUAGACCGUACCCGAAACCGACACAGGUGGUCAGGUAGAGUAUACCAAGGCGUUUGAGAGAAGUAUCCUGAAGGAACUCGGCAAAUUGCCUCCGUACCUUCGGAAGAAGGAGGCCCCAUUGGCGCGCAAGCGUUAGUGGGGGGCACAGGCCAGGGGGUAGCGACUGUUUAGCAAAAACACAGGACUCUGCUAAGUCGGCUUCAAGACGACGUAUAGGGUCUGACGCCUGCCCGGUGCCGGAAGGUUAAGAGGAGGAGUGCAAGCUCCGAAUUGAAGCCCCGGUAAACGGCGGCCGUAACUAUAACGGUCCUAAGGUAGCGAAAUUCCUUGUCGGGUAAGUUCCGACCUGCACGAAUGGCGUAACGACUUCCCCACUGUCUCCAGGAUAUGCUCAGCGAAAUUGAAUUCUCCGUGAAGAUGCGGAGUACCCGCGGUUAGACGGAAAGACCCCGUGCACCUUUACUGCAGCUUCAGAGUGGCAUUAGGAAAGAAUUGUGUAGCAUAGGUGGGAGGCUUUGAAGCAUCGGCGCCAGCUGAUGUGGAGCCAUAGGUGAAAUACCACCCUGUUGUUUUCUGAUGUCUAACCCAGCACCGUUAGCCGGUGCGGGGACCCUCUGUGGCGGGUAGUUUGACUGGGGCGGUCGCCUCCUAAAGAGUAACGGAGGCGCGCGAU